UACGGAGGGGGCAAGCGUUGCUCGGAAUUAUUGGGCGUAAAGGGUAGGUAGGUGGUCUCGUUUGUCUGGGGUGAAAUCCCUGAGCUCAACUCAGGAAUUGCCUCGGAAACGGCGAGACUGGAGUCCUGGAGAGGGUCGUGGAAUUCCCGGUGUAGCGGUGAAAUGCGUAGAGAUCGGGAGGAACACCAGAGGCGAAAGCGGCGACCUGGACAGGUACUGACACUCAACUACGAAAGCGUGGGGAUCAAACAGG
rnacentral:rRNA from 1 species